AAGUCCCUUACUCCAUACUCCACAUCUGUGGUUCUAGGUACUGACUUAACAGCUAAUAUACAUGUAUAAACAAAUAUACAGUAUAUUUGUCCUUCUGGGCCAGGAUACCUCACUCAGGAUGGUUUCUUCUAGUUCCCUCCGUUUACUCACAGAUGUCAUGAUAUCAUUGUGUUAAAAGGCUGAGUAAUAUUCCAUUGUAUAAGUGUACAACAUUUAAAAAUCCACCCUCCUGUUGAGGGGAUCUAGGUUGAUUCCAGAGACCAAGGACCAUGGUUACACAGCUGUCCCUGUGGGGAAAUGGCGUGUCCUUUGAGUAUGGCUGGACCCGGAGGUAAAUGGAUUUCCAUCUUCCUGAGGAACUGCCCCACUGAUGGCAGUCGAGUCUGUCCAAGUUUGCACUCCCACCAUCAGUGGAUGCAAGUUUCCCAUACUCCACAUCUCCAACACCACUUGUCUAACUGAGCUGAGCCAUUCUGAUGGAUGUAAGAUGAAAUCCCAAAAAGUAGUUUCAAUUUGCAUUCCCCUGAUGGUUCAAGUAUUUCUCAACCAUUUGAGGUUCCUUUUUUGAGAAUUCUCUGUUUAGGUCUGUACCUUGUUUUUAUUUGGGUUGUGUAUUUUGUUGAUAUUUAGUUGUGGAUCCUUUAUAUAUUUUGGAUAUUAGCCCUCUGCUGGAUGUAGGGUUGGUGAAGAUCUUUCCCUGUUCUAUAGGCCGUCAUGUCCUUUGCCACUGAGAAGCUUUUCAGUUUCACGAAGUCCCAUUUCAUAAUUGUUGAUCUUAGUGUCUGCACUAUUGGUGUUCUGUUCAGAAAGUUGUCUCCUGGGCCAAUGCAUUCAAGGCUAAUCCCCUGAAGCAGUAAAUUGUUAAUCCACUCUGAGCUUGGUGGGUACUUCUCACUACUGCCUGCCAGAAUGCUGCUCUGGAUUUGAGAAUGAAAGAUAAACACACACACACACACACACACACACACACACACACACACUUUCCAUGUCAUGGCAAUUCUAAAAACUCCUCACUCCUGCUUCCUUGCCUGAGAAAUCUAAAGUUCCACCUCUUUGGCCACCAUCCACUUUAUUUCACCAAUCAAAGCCAACUAGGAGGAGGGACCCUCAGCAUCAGGUAAUUUGGGGAGCCAAAUUAGACAAAUAGCAUUAGAACCAAUCCACAACAAACCCCCACUUUCUCUUCUAUGUGGUUCAGUGUAUCUUGGCCUCAUGUUGAGACCUUUGAUCCACUUGGACUUGAAUUUUGUUGUUGAAGAUGCUGUCUCUUUUCUAGUGUGUAUUUCUGGCUUCUUUAUCAAAAAUCAGAUGUCCAUAGUGGCUUUACACCUAGGUCUUCAAUUCGAUUCCAGUGAUCACUGUGUCUGCUUCAGUGCCAGUCAGACAUUCUGUUAUUUCCAUACAUCCAGCUUCUGGGUAGACUUUUUUUAGGCAGCGUUUCACUUCUAUGAUUUUUUUGUUUCCUUAGCAAACUAGAGUCACGUUAGCUCUAGGAUUAUGAACACUCCUCAUGAUGUCACCACCAUCAGCCAUUUAGAGGAUGCUGCUGACGUGGACUGAAUUAUCUGGAAACUAUGCAAGAUCAAAACAUUCAUGCUGAAUAAGCCAUAAAGCAAUAAACAUAUAUCUAAGCAACUCUAGUCUCAUAUAGAACACACAAAAGUGUCUUUUUCCUAGGGGCUCAGAGUUCAAAUUCUUUGUGGAUUUUCUUUGAAAUGUUUGAGGGUCCAGGCCAUUCAUUUAAGGCCUGCUAAAUAUUUACACCACGUAGUGGCAUGGUCAGGAAAUAUGUUUGAACCAGGUCGGGUACACUCAUUUUCCUCAGGCUGGGUCACCUGAUUGGAAUGCUGCCCUGCCUGGCCAUUCUCACUGCAGUAGACAUUUUGAGUCUUGGUUCAGUAAUGUUCGAAUUUUCUCUCUCUCUCUCUUUUUUUUUUAACCCAGGCCCAAUUUUAAAAAAUCCAAACAAUUUAAAUGGAGAUCAAAUAGCUGACUAGAACCAUUAGUUCUGUGUGUAUAAUUUAGUUUUCCUUUCCCCCUUUUGAUGUAUGCACAAUUUUUCUUAAAUUUUUAUUUGUAUUUUAUGUGUGUGAGUUGUUUUGCCUGCAUAUACAAGUGUGCAUCACUUGGUUACUGGUGCCAGGGGAAGCCAGGACAGGGCACUAGUUCCCCCGGAACUGGAGUUAUAUUUGUGAGCCACCUUGUGGGUGCUGGGAAUUGAACCCAGGUCCUCUAGAAGAGGAGCAUUUCCGAAACCAUAUAAAUGCUGGGCACAGGAGUGCAUGCUGUCUGGCACAGGAGUGCACGCUGUCAUCCUGACACUUGGAGCUUGAAGCAAGAAGACUAGAGAUUUGAGACCAGCCAUAGUGACACUGCCUCAACAACAACAAAAUCCCAAAACAAAAUGAAAAGAAUCAAACCAACUGAACAAGCAAAAAUUCAGUCUGUUUCAAAGGACUCCUGGAAAAGAUUCCUCAGCUAAUUUUUGGAACCAAAAUAAUUGGUUUCUCUCCCAGCGGCAUCAUUAUCUCCAUUAAGGAAAUGCUAUAGUCAGAAAUUUGAGAACACAAUUUGCUUUACAAGAAUUUUUACAUUUCAUACUUGUGCAAGUGUUUUAAGGGUUUUACUCUGUGGUCUGUUUUUUAUUUAACUGUUUUGUUUUUAGAAACAGAGUCUCAUGCAAACCAGGCUAACUUCAAACUACAUAGCUGGGGGUGACCUUGAACUCCUGAUCCCUCUUCCAUCUCCUAUGUGCUAGGACUACUGGUGUGUGUGAAGGCCUAUGUAGAGCAGGCUAGCUUCAAACUCAAAGUAAUCUUCAUGAGUCUGCAGAUGCUGUGGUUAAAGACUUGCUUCUUUAGGGUUUUAAUUUGAUUUUAUCCCUUUUGGUAGUUGCUGAAGGUUAAUAUGAACUGCCAAUGUAAAACUUCUACAUUCUUAGAAAUUCUUUUUCAAAUAAUAAACUUCUUCCCUUUU
rnacentral:lncRNA from 1 species